rnacentral:lncRNA from 1 species
AUGAGUGUUAUGGCUAAGACGAGGCCACAGAGAUAGGAGAUGGCGUCAGCCACCUCAGGACCGGGUCUUUGUAUAAGCAAGGUAGGGAUUGGCUGUCGUCUGCUUCUAGCUGGAGUAAGGGUGGCUAUAUAAUUGUGCCUGUUUGUGGAUGAAGAGACAGAAGCGAAGGAGCACCCCUGUGUACGAGCCAUAGACAGCUGCUCUCUUGAAGUGGCUAACUGGAGGAAAUACCAGGAGACUAUCAAAUAUCAGUUUGAUGCCUUCCAUGGAGAGAAGAGCACUCAGUGGGACAUCUAUGUAGGUUUAGUACAGCCCAUACUAAGGAACUUGCUGGAAGGGCAGAAUGCCAGUGUACUUGCCUAUGGACCGACUGGGGCAGGGAAGACACACAAUGUUGGGCAGCCCAGAACAGCCUGGAGUGAUUCCUCAGACUCUCCCAGACCUCCUGCACCUAACAAGGGAAGAGAAUGCUGAGGGCUGGCCAUGGGACAUUUCUGUUGCUUUGUGCUAUUUAGAUCUCUAACAGGAAAUAGUAUUAGACCUCUUGGAUCCUGCAUCAGAAGACCUAGUGUUCCGAGAAGGCUGACGAGGGAAAAUCCUGAUUCCAGGCCUCACACAGAAGCCCAUCACUAGUUUCUCUGACUUCGAGAAGCACUUCCUUCUAGUCAGUAGAAAUCGAGUUGUAGGAGCUACUCUGCUUAACCAGCGCUCUUGCCGUAGUCAUGCAGCGCUCUUGGUCAAGGUAGAUCAGCAUGAACGUUUGACUCCAUUUCGCCAGUGGGAAGGAAAACUCUACCUUAUUGAUUUGGCUGGUUCAGAGGACAACCGUCAGUCGCACAGGCAACCAGGGCAUUCUGCUCAAAGAGAGUGGAGCCAUCAACACCUCCCUCUUUGUACUGGGCAAAGUAGUGGAUGCAUUAAACCAAGGCCUCCCUCAUAUACCAUACCAGGACAGCAGGCUCACUCGUCUGUUGCAAGACUCUCUGAGAGGCUCAGCUCAUAGCAUCCUCAUUGUCAGCAUUGCUCCUGAAAGAUGUUUUUACCUGGAUACAAUCUCAGCAUUAAACUUCACUGCUAGGUCCAAGGAGGUGAUUAACCAGGCUUUCACCAAAGCGAGUGUACAACCUCAGGCCUUGACACCUGUUAAGCUGUCUCAGAAAGAUCUGCUAGGUUUAUCAGAGGCAAAGAAAGCCAAAGGCCCUCAAGAAGAAUCAACUGGGAGCCCUGAGUCUAUAGCAUCUCCAGCAUCUGCUUCCCAGAAACUAAGCAAUAUGGAUCUAGCCAUGUUGGGAAAGCUCCUGAGUAUGGAAUGUUUGCUGGGUUCCAAGGGGAGCCAGAGGAACCCUCUACUGAAUACCCCAAACGAGAGCGAAUGGUGCUCAUUAAGACGGUGGAGGACAAGAUAUUGGAGAUUGAGAGGCUUAAGAUGAAGCAAAAAGAACUGGAAGCCCAGGUGCUGGUCCAGGAAGCACUGCAUUCAAGGGAAAAGGAGAACACUCCUACAAUUCUCCAGUCCCCCUUCCUCUUGUAGUGGCACAGUGGCAAAGCCCCUGAAAAAAAGCUGUAGUUGAUGCCUCUUCAAGGGAUUCAGAUGCAGGCAGAGUCCUCAAACAAGAUCCACCUCUUGCAGAAAGGCCAUAAAAGGAAGCUGGCGCCAUCACAUGUGUCAGAGGCUGUGGAAAAGGAUGAGGGCUAUAGGGAGUUACAGAUUAGCCCAGAAUUACUGGCACAUGGGCUCAAAAUAAUUAUUGGAUCUGCUGAAUGAAGGCUCAGCUCGGGAUCUAUGCAGCCUGCAGCACAUCAGUCAGAAGAAGGCCCAGCUCAUCGUGGGCUGGAGGAAGCGCCAUGCCCCCUUAAGUGAGGUGGAGGACUAGGUACAGGUGGAAGGCAUCUCUGGAAAGCAGGUGGAGUCUUUCCUGAAGGCUUGGCUCUUGAAUCUCUUGGGCUUGGUGCCAGACAGUACCUCUUGACUACCAGCUCUUGA